ACCUAAGAGAUUAGGCGUUCCCUUCGGGGACGGAAUGACAGGUGGUGCAUGGUUGUCGUCAGCUCGUGUCGUGAGAUGUUGGGUUAAGUCCCGCAACGAGCGCAACCCUUAUGAUCAGUUGCCAGCAUUCAGUUGGGCACUCUGGUCAGACUGCCGGUGACAAACCGGAGGAAGGCGGGGAUGACGUCAAAUCAUCAUGCCCCUUAUGACCUGGGCUACACACGUGCUACAAUGGGUGGUACAACGAGCAGCGAGACCGCGAGGUCAAGCGAAUCUCUAAAAACCAUCCUCAGUUCGGAUUGCAGGCUGCAACUCGCCUGCAUGAAGCUGGAAUCGCUAGUAAUCGCGGAUCAGCACGCCGCGGUGAAUACGUUCCCGGGUCUUGUACACACCGA
rnacentral:rRNA from 1 species